ensembl:lncRNA novel protein, readthrough PFDN5-C12orf10
GAGGACGGCUAGAGCGUUGCUCGCCGAGAGACUUCCUCUUCGUUAAGUCGGCCUUCCCAACAUGGCGCAGUCUAUUAACAUCACGGAGCUGAAUCUGCCGCAGCUAGAAAUGCUCAAGAACCAGCUGGACCAGGAAGUGGAGUUCUUGUCCACGUCCAUUGCUCAGCUCAAAGUGGUACAGACCAAGUAUGUGGAAGCCAAGGACUGUCUGAACGUGCUGAACAAGAGCAACGAGGGUAUGGGGUAGGCGGGUGAGGGUAACCUAAAGUGGCGAACCUGCUUCUCUCGUCCCACCUCCUAACCCAGUUUUUCUUACCUGAAACGAGAAAAUCCAUUACAUAUCGUAUACCGCUUCAUGAACCCUUUGCAUGUUGCCUGCCUAGAAUUGAAAAGUACAGGACAUUCCUCUGCUCCUAUUGCCCCUGUUUCCGUUCUUUUCACACUGUCUGUGGGUGCUGUGCCCUGUUGGAACUCUCUUUAACGUCUUACGUUGGAGCCGCUAACCUUCCCCAGGUGUUUGUCUUCAUUGCUUUCACAGGGAAAGAAUUACUCGUCCCACUGACGAGUUCUAUGUAUGUCCCUGGGAAGCUGCAUGAUGUGGAACACGUGCUCAUCGAUGUGGGAACUGGGUACUAUGUAGAGAAGACAGCUGAGGAUGCCAAGGACUUCUUCAAGAGGAAGAUAGAUUUUCUAACCAAGCAGAUGGAGAAAAUCCAACCAGCUCUUCAGGAGAAGCACGCCAUGAAACAGGCCGUCAUGGAAAUGAUGAGUCAGAAGAUUCAGCAGCUCACAGCCCUGGGGGCAGCUCAGGCUACUGCUAAGGCCUGAGAGUUUUUGCAGAAAUGGGGCAGAGGGACACCCUUUGGGCGUGGCUUCCUGGUGAUGGGAAGGGUCUUGUGUUUUAAUGCCAAUAAAUGUGCCAGCUGGGCAGAAUGUUGGUCUUUUCUUGGAUUAAGCAAGGGACUGGUGAUGAGAUGGGGGGUGUGGUCGAGAGUGUGGGCCCCGUCUCAGAGCCUGAUGCGCAGGGGUGAUGCGAUGCGCCUCUUGGAGGCUCCAUCGCAGGGCCCUUUGACCAGCUGGAAGAAAUCCUAGGCUGGGAGUCUGCUGCUGCUCACUCUGCAGAGCUGGUUGCCAAGGGAACGGUUGGCAAGCGGAAGUGGGGCUGCGCUGGCGCUUCCUCUUCCGGGUCGGCGCUCCUGCCUCCCUGCAGGGAGCUGCUUAUGGGACACCAAUUCCUGCGCGGCCUCUUAACGCUGCUGCUGCCGCCGCCACCCCUGUAUACCCGGCACCGCAUGCUCGGUCCAGAGUCCGUCCCGCCCCCAAAACGAUCCCGCAGCAAACUCAUGGCACCGCCCCGAAUCGGGACGCACAAUGGCACCUUCCACUGCGACGAGGCACUGGCAUGCGCACUGCUUCGCCUCCUGCCGGAGUACCGGGAUGCAGAGAUUGUGCGGACCCGGGAUCCCGAAAAACUCGCUUCCUGUGACAUCGUGGUGGACGUGGGGGGCGAGUACGACCCUCGGAGACACCGAUAUGACCAUCACCAGAGGUCUUUCACAGAGACCAUGAGCUCCCUGUCCCCUGGGAAGCCGUGGCAGACCAAGCUGAGCAGUGCGGGACUCAUCUAUCUGCACUUCGGGCACAAGCUGCUGGCCCAGUUGCUGGGCACUAGUGAAGAGGACAGCAUGGUGGGCACCCUCUAUGACAAGAUGUAUGAGAACUUUGUGGAGGAGGUGGAUGCUGUGGACAAUGGGAUCUCCCAGUGGGCAGAGGGGGAGCCUCGAUAUGCACUGACCACUACCCUGAGUGCACGAGUUGCUCGACUUAAUCCUACCUGGAACCACCCCGACCAAGACACUGAGGCAGGGUUCAAGCGUGCAAUGGAUCUGGUUCAAGAGGAGUUUCUGCAGAGAUUAGAUUUCUACCAACACAGCUGGCUGCCAGCCCGGGCCUUGGUGGAAGAGGCCCUUGCCCAGCGAUUCCAGGUGGACCCAAGUGGAGAGAUUGUGGAACUGGCGAAAGGUGCAUGUCCCUGGAAGGAGCAUCUCUACCACCUGGAAUCUGGGCUGUCCCCUCCAGUGGCCAUCUUCUUUGUUAUCUACACUGACCAGGCUGGACAGUGGCGAAUACAGUGUGUGCCCAAGGAGCCCCACUCAUUCCAAAGCCGGCUGCCCCUGCCAGAGCCAUGGCGGGGUCUUCGGGACGAGGCCCUGGACCAGGUCAGUGGGAUCCCUGGCUGCAUCUUCGUCCAUGCAAGCGGCUUCACUGGCGGUCACCACACCCGAGAGGGUGCCUUGAGCAUGGCCCGUGCCACCUUGGCCCAGCGCUCAUACCUCCCACAAAUCUCCUAGUCUAAUAAA